rnacentral:rRNA from 1 species
UUACCUCCGUAACUUCGGGAUAAGGAGGCCCAUUGCUCGCGCAAGCGGGCAGUGGGGGCACAGACCAGGGGGUGGCAACUGUUUAACAAAAACACAGGGCUCUGCGAAAUCGUAAGAUGACGUAUAGGGUCUGACGCCUGCCCGGUGCUGGAAGGUUAAGAGGAACGGAGCAAGCCUUGAAUCGAAGCCCCGGUAAACUGCGGCCGUAACUAUAACGGUCCUAAGGUAGCG